CAAAAUGCUGGGACUACAGACGUGAGCCACUGCGCCCUGCCAACAAGAUAUUUUAAUAAUAUGAAUGCAACUCUGCAAGUGCAUGAAAUGCAAAGGUGACAGGGUGUUAUGAAUAUGUCUCCCUUCCCUCUAUUUUCUAGUUACCCAGAUUUCCUAUUAAGAAAAAAAAAUUGUCAUUAGUUUCUUAACCAAUGGGUUUUAAACCAAACAGGCUUUCUGACAUCUGUAAGAUCUUGGCUUGGGCUGGCGGCCUGGGUGAGGCUGGAAGGCUCUCUGUGUGAGCUCAGGACGGCGAUGGACAGGGGGGGUCCUGGCUCCAGCUCCGCCUGCAGCCUCCCCGAGCCUAUCCCUCGGGCGCCGGCCUGGGCUGUCCAGGGAGAGCGGGCAAGGAGCAGGGCCCCGGGCUAGGUCCAGGCCGGCAGUUGGCAUCAGGGGGCCCCGGGUGGGAAGACCGGUUGAGAUGGGGGUGCAUUGACCCGGAGAAUCUGAGACGCAAGGUUUCCGGCUCUUGGCCGCUAGUGAGGAAGACUCCAGGCCGAUCCUGGCCCAAAGCAGGGCGCCGGGCCGCCGUCAGUCCUCGGAACCGGGAUUGGGAGGAGUCGGAGAGGGGCGGCCUUUCCCUGGGGCGGCGUGGAAGGGAGGCAGCACCGCCAGGCGAUGAGUAGAGCUGGGCCCUGGCGGGCUGCCCCUGGGGUGUCUUGCAGUCCCUCCUGGGUCUAGGGCUGUUCCUCCGAGGUCUCGAGGUGGUCCUUCGGGUGUGUCUGGGGUCGGUCAGCCCCUCUAGAAUCUGGGGGCGGCCUCCCGAGGGCCAUACUGCAUCACAUAGUGGAGGCAGGCAGAAGCCGGUUGGGGAGGGCCCGCGGUGCUUUUGGUGUGAAGAUCUCCAGGAAGAGUGAUUUUAAAAAUAGCCUGACUGACGUGUAAAGAACCCUAUCAAGUACCGUUUGCUGAGUCAUGAGUGCCUGUUCAAGUUCCAGCCUGAGAACUGAGGGAAGGGCUGGGUGAAAAAGGACUCGCCAACGCCGCGGCGCCUCUAAGCUGGUAUAUACGGCCGGCCUGAAGUGGGGCAAAGGUCGCAGCCUGCGGGAAACACAGGCCCAGGCCCAGCGGCUGGCUUGGGAAGAUAACACUAGCAUGUGUAAUGUAACACAUGACAAUGGAAGAUUCUACAUAAUGAAGGGUUAACUCUGAAAUCAGAAGACAAGUUUUCCAAGACUCGGGAAGGUGGAGAGAUCAGAGAUCCGUGAGAGAACAAAGAAUCGGGUGUUUUGCAUGUCUGACACCCAUGGCUCCACCUGGAGGACAACCCUCACUCCUGUGGCCACACCUAGAAUCAACCAGCCCACAGGAGGACUGCUUCAACCCGCUAUGAUUUCAUCUCUGCCCCAGCCAAUCAGCAGCAAGCACCUGCUACCUAGCACUCCUCUCCCCCACACUGCUUCCCCUAAACCGCCUUUGAAAAACCCCUAAUCUGGUGGGGUGUGGUGGCUCACGCCUGUAAUCCCAGCACUUUGGGAGGCUGAGGCGGGCAGAUCACCAGAUCAG